GUUGCUCGCCGCUUCUCCGGGAAGGCGGCGUGAGGCAGCAGUCAGUAGAGGGCAAUAGAGAAAUACAGUUUGUGAUGCCUAAAGGAUUUGAAGCCCUGAUUAUGUGUUUACAGAAAAGAAAAAGAAGAAAAGAAGAGCCAGGAGGAUAGGUUGUUCAGUUUACUACCGGAGACCUGACUGUGACAGACCACCAAGAAAACAAAAUUUUCAAAGAGAGUAGAGAAGACCUUCUUUCUGCAGCAUCUGCAAGUCUGUCCUUUUUUCUUCAGAGUUACGUAGGAUAACUUAGCCAGAACUUACUGAUGUCUGCAUGUUCAGUGGACCCGGGAAUGGACUGGAAGAUGCGGAAACAUACUCUUUGGAAGAAACAGAAGAGGAGGCAUUUCAAAGAUCCUGCAGGUGACAAAGAUUGACUUGGAAACCAUCAGUUUCAAAGAAGGUAAAGGUAUCAGAUGAGUUCAUAUGCAACAGAUGGGUUUUCUGGAAAAAGCCUCAGAUUUGAUAAACUUUCAGAAAAAUUUCGCAUGACUUGCUGUGGAAAAAGUACCUUUAUUGUGAAUGUUUGCUGGUCCCACCGAAGCUGAUGCUACUUUGGGAAUUCACUUCAGCUGAGAUUAGGACUUUCUUUAUAGACCUGUGUGUGCAUUGAAGAUGAAGACACUAAUCAUUAAAGCUGUGUCAGCGUCUCAGCAAUGAAUUGAUGUUCUUUUUGGCUAAAGUUCAGUGUUCUUUGAAUGAAAAUCCUUGAUUUACAUUUCUCAACUAUUCAUGAGGGAGUAUUAAGCUGAUGUCUUGCUACUGUUUGUGGAGCCACCGAAGAAACAAGCAAAAAAGGAAAAAAAAUGCCAUCCAAACAACAACCCAUGGAAAAUAUUGAUUUAAGUUUGGUGGCUGCUAUUGAAUGUGCUUGUCAUUUUCUCAAGCAGCAACAGAACACAUUGGCAUUACAGGUGAUGAUCUGCUGACAGAAUAAAAAAAAUUGUAGAAAGUGCCAAGACUGCACAGGCAUUUGCUGUGGUAUCACUCCCACAUGAGGAACCUUCACCACAGUCUUUCUUCAAGUAUGUUCUCUCCUGUGAUCCAGAGGAGAUGUCCGAUUUCUGGCUGAUCUUGAAUGCAGAUUGAAAGUUCUGAAUCAGGGUUCAUUAUUUUUCAGAGGAUGGGUCUUUCUGCCCUGCAGGGAUCUAUCUAUCACUGCUGACUCUCUGCAUCUUCUCCACAUGGAAGAAGUAAUUGGAUUGUAUUUUCUGCACACGACCAAGACAGCAGGGAAACCCACAGCUGUAAGCCAGAGAACCAAGCUGUCUAGAGAGCUGGACCUGGGCCUCACCAGCAUGCCUAAUAAUGUCAUCAGGACUAAGAACAUGAGGAGGAGGAGGUGUCCUGUACCCAGCAGUGAAACGUACCAGUACAAAGAUCAAAACCAAAAUUGACUGGACCUCAGACAAAGGAGGAGAAAGGAAGUUGUUGAGGUCCCCACACAGAUGUCUGAUUACAAUUCCACCAAGGUGCGUUUGAAACUGUGUCACAGCUCAGCCUCUUCUCCCCAGUGCCUGUGGCGGCAGCUUCCAGCAUGACACAUCCCAUCUUUGACUCACAAGAAGACAAGCUUCCAUUCAGCUAGAAAAUAAGAGCUUAAAGAAAGAGCUUAAAAGUCUGUGGCAAGCCUAUAAGGACUGAUGUAUACCACCAUUGUAAAGUUUAAUUCUAGACUGAAAAUCAAUGAAUAUACAAAGAUUCAUAUUUCUAAGAAAACAAAGACAUAAAUCUACAGCCAUUUUGACGAAUGAUGUGCAGAUUUCUCCUGGGGAACAUGCAAAGAAGGCCCACACCUAUGGAAAGGCUGUCCUAAGAUUAUGUCACCUACAUGUAUCACGAAGGAAUUUUCUUCUUGGCUGCUCAGAGGAGGAUUUUUAACAUUUGCCUUCCAUUUACUCCACAACAUUUCAUUGCUGAGUAACUUGUACUUCUUCACACCAUUUUAAUUUGAUGGCAUGUACGAGUAAUGCAGAGACCUUUCUUUCCUAAGGGAAAUUAAGAAAAUAAUUCAUUCUUUCACUCAGUAACUCAGCUGAAUUCAAUUUAGACUCAUUCUUUUAGGAAAGGUGUUACCUAGUUCUGCCAAGUUAAAAUAUGGAAGGAAAAAUGUCAAUAAUACUGACCAUCUUGUCAUCACAAUUUUUAGUUCUUUCAUGCCAUGCUUCCUCCACAGAGACUUUAAUUUUGCACAGGGAAAAACUAACAUCAAGUCUUAGAAGGCUUAAGUCACAUCUGUAAUUUAUGCAUGUUACUAAAUACUAACAUACACUAUGUGUAUGGAACAAAACUUCAGCAAAUCAGUUUUCACAAUGAUUUGGUUUUUUGAGCUCAUUUGUAAGGUUUUAAUUUUAAUUAUUUUCUUACAUUUACUUCAAUAUAUAUUUGCCAGAUGAGAUAUAUGCAGGGAAAAAGGUGUAACAGAAGGGCAGGAGUAUCAGCUGCAUUAUGUGUUCCUAAGAUACAGAGAAAGAACAUGAUUUGGACAUUUCUGUGGCACAGGGCCCUGUUGGCAGCUGCUGAUCUCAUUCCUAUCCCUUACAUGGGGUUGUUAACACAAGGGCACCUGUGGGAAUGGCUGAGGACUGAAGAGGCCAUGACCAAAGUGAAUAUUGAUUCUCAUUUUCCUUGGUGUGGCUGCCUGUGUAGAAAACAUCGAUCAGUAGUGCAGCUUGAGAGGAGGCUGAAUGAAUUAAUGGAAGAGAGAACCCUCUCAGAGCUACUGAAUACACAGAAAAUCAGCCUGGCUCAGGAUGUGGCUGGGCUGCAAGUGCUUUGCAGUGGAGAGGAGAGGCUGUUUGCAAUUCUCCGGUCUCACGCUCCUCGUUCCAACAUCAGCUCUAGGGCGUUAGCAUUAGCUGUUCUUAUUUCAUUAUGCUUUUAUUUACUGUUGGCAGGAGAGGAGGACUGGAAGCUGCCCAGAGUGCUGGCUGCAGCCACCGAGAGACCUCUCUUUCCCCAGGGCUGGCUGCAGCACAGAAUUGAUGGGCGCUGAGUAAAUGUGUUUCAUAUCCAGAGCAAAUUUUCCAGAGUGCUUAAAUGGCUUGAAACUGCAGGUUGUGUUGGCCAAGAUCAAGUAACUUGCUUGGGAAACCACUUCCAGUUAACUUUCUUUCUUUUUGUCUCUCUCCCCGUGUUUGUGCAUUUUCAGUUAUGCAGAAAGGUAUAAUUUAGCUCCAUUUCCCUUUAUUUAAGCAGUGAGCUUCAAAACUGCAGUUGAAAUCUUUUAACUUCAAACAUUCUGUCUCUGAUAGAAAACCAAGUAUCUCCUUUUUAACUCUCAGUCACGUUAACUGGUACUGGUAACUUUGUACCCAUAAGCACAGAACACUAGAUGGAUAGACUGCAGCAAAACAAGUACAUGUUGUAUUUAGAAACAAGUACCUUUAAAAAAUUUACCUGUCUGCCAAGACUUGGAAAAACGAGAAAGCCAGUUCAGCUCAGUACACAGAGCAGUUCCUCACUGCCCUACUCUCCUCAUGGCUGCUGGGAAUGCCUGGCAUGUCAGUAACACAUGCUGAGCAAGAGCCAAAAAGCCCUUCAUUGCUUGUAAAAAUGAAACAAGCUCCUUAUUGGAAAACAGCUCUUUUCAGAGGCAUUACAGCUGUGGAUGAUGCUGUAGCCGCUGUAGCCAAGAGUGCCUACCAGGGACCAGCUUUCAGCAGUGUCAGUAGGUAAGAUGUAUAACAGGGAUAGGUCCAGUUGUCCUGUGCCAGAGCAUCCUACCUUUCUUUAUUCUUCCAUUGCACAAACAACACACACUAACAGCAAACAUUUGCAUGAAACAAGCAAUAAUGAAAUAUGCCUAUUUAAUUGUUCACAGUCCGCUAAGUCAGGAGGAUUACUGGGUCACCCUGCACUGGUUUGACCUCCAGUUCUUUCCUGACUCAUCUGCAGCUCUGCUCUUUCAUGGUGGGAGAUCUUUCAGUUUUGGCGUUGCGCUGCCAGGAGCAUCUGGUGCUGUUCUCUCCUGGUGUGACUGCUACUGGCUGCCCCUUCCUGAGGAAAAGAGAUGAUUUUUUGAGGCUGUGGUGAUCUGGUGUGGCAGGUGCUGUACAGUCCCACAUGGGAAGUCUCGACUAGCAGAAUCUCCUGUCUGUUCAAGAGCUUAAAAGCUGAAUGCCUUUGUAACCUCCUCCUGAGCUUGAGGGUGGCUUCAGGUGCUGGGGCUCUUUCACACUGAAGGGCUUGUACCAUCUGGUUGAUGCCAUGGGUUAUAACAAUAAAUGACACCACGCACAACAAACAUCUCCAGGGCUUUCUCUGACUUCAACCUCUAAUCUCUCAGGCUUCCUGUGCCCCGUAUCUGCCUAUAAUGCUUUCGAAAUGACAAUCCUAGUGAUUUUGACAUGGAGGAUUCAUGUGAAGCUGGUGCAGAGGCUGGUAAGAGGCUGCCCUGACCCUCCGGGCCUGGCAGUGUCACAUUCUUUGUGCAUUUGAACUGAAAGUGGAGAGGGUACAGAAGGGUCAGACAGACAUCCAUAUGACCCUGCUUUCCUUGUGUCAUGGGACUUUGCGCAAUUGGCAAUUACAGAUGUAGCCCUGAUACUCACACCAAGCUUCUGACCUGUUGUCGCACACUAUUUUAUGCAGUAUGUCAUGUCCAACAUGAUUGUAAUAACUUCUGUCUUACUCACAUCCAGCUCUGUCUCCUGCUUUUUUUAACUUCUCUCCCAGGAAUUUCCUUUAGGCAGACUUUUCUUCCAUUAUUCAGACUCAAAUCACUUUUCAGCACUGUUUUGUUCCACAUCAAAGCCUGUAGCCUCACCCCCUUUGCACUCAGGGCUCCCAAAAGCCUGGAAAGCUUCUGAGGAAGCUGGUCUCUGUGGAGCUGGGGCAAUGAGCUGGGGUGACUGUACACGUUCCUGUUAUUGAAAGCAAACAGACCUGUCCACGCUGUUUCAUUCUCUCCCUCCCAGGGAUUUGGCUGGGCUAUCUCCCUGCCAGUUCACUGUUUUCUGGGUCUGACAGUGUUUGCUGUGGGCAGUCAUGCUUGGCCAGAGGACAUGCUCCAUGGCUCUGCUCAGGCAAGCCUGCCUCCCACACGUGCAGGGUAUGUUGUGUAAAGAAUGUCAGACCUUUGCUGGAGCUACUGGGUAGCUCCUUAAGAGAAAUGCUGGGAGUCAGCACAGGCACAUCCUGCAGUGCCCACUCCGGGCUGUAGGCUGUAGUGAUUGCCAGAGCCUCCCUUCUGAGCUGUAAAGGUUUUGCAAAAAGCCCUUCUGCAUGGUGCUCUGUGCAGCAUAUCCAGCUUGCUGUAUUCCAGAGACAUUGCUGGGCACUACCCUUGCCUCACCUGAGAGCUUUGGAGGCCCAGUGACAUGUGUUAUACUUGUCUAAGAGCUCAGCAGUGACCUCUUUGUGAUGCUGGAUGAUCUCUCCAGGGCUGAAUCUGUUUCUCUCAAUAAUUUCACUUGCAAUCUGGAAUCCCACAAGCAGCCCUUGUUUUUAAUUAGGGGCUCCAUAAUGUCUCCAAAGAUAUGUGUAGUGUCAGAGAUCCUACAUCUGAAACAUAGCCUCAAUUGCCUCAUAUUUUUAUUUUCAGUUUUGAGCACAAUUACUGAGUCCCUCUACAGUCUUAUUCUGUCCAGGUCAAGUCUUCAAAUAACUUUCUUGAUGGUUCAAUUGCUCCAAAUAUUAUUUUGAAAAUAUUAAGUGACUCUCUCAAGUCACUUCUUGUCCUUUUUGUUCAGUGAGGCAGUGAAAAGUUUUACUUCCAUGUUUUCUCACUCUUUCAUGGCCAACUCCAUGUAUCAAUUCCCUGCUCAAGUGAACACUUCAAACUAGCUUUUUGGGCUCUCAGUGACUCAAGUCCCUUCUGGCAGUUUGCCUGCUUCAUUCCCAGAGUGUCUUUCUGUGUCUACUGCACUGGCUGAUGACAUGAACUCUGUCCCACCUCUCAGAAAGGGACAGUCUAUCUCCAGCUUCAGUUCAUCCCUUUGGAGUAACACUGCUACUGAUGUUAAUAAGAGAGAAGUCCUGUUUGAGUCUGUAGCAAACAUCCCUCAGGUAGCUGCAGCAAAUGAGGAAAUAUUUAAAGGUGAGCUAUGUCCUAAUAUCAUCUGUUGGAAAGGACUUUAUGUUUCAUAUAUUUCAUGUUAUUGCUCUGAAAGACUAAACGCAGGAGCACAUUUCCAAUUGAAAUGCUUGUGGAAAUUAAAUCCAUGUUUAAAUGAAUUUGAAACUUUUAAUGCAAAAUUGAGCACUUAGAAAUUUUGCAUCAACUCCAACUUAAUUAAAAUUAAUAAGGUUUCAGAGAGUUUUAGUUGGGAUAGAUGAGGAAAGAAUUUGGCCUUAAAUGUGUAAUUAAAAUACAAUUACAUUGGAAGGAAGUAAUUACUGAGGUUGUACCUCAAAAGCAUACCUAAUGGGCUAUCAGGAGAAAAGGUUUAUGUGUUUGGUUCACCAGCUAUAUAAGAUAUAAAAGGCUGGAGUCACUGAAAGAAAGAGAUAUUAGCAAGAUCAUUUAGGUAAAUACUAGCAGGUCUUUUAUGGUCAAAUCAUUCUGGCUACAUUUAGGAAGGGGACUGCUUCAUCUUAAUUUGGGGUGUGCAAGCUGCUCCACAAGUUUUCUUUCUGACACAUUUAAUUGUCUCCCAGCCCUCUCAUGGGGCUGUGAGAGAAGGAAGCGUUGUUCAACCACUGUCAAACAUCUCUGGAUGAGGAAAAAGUUAGCACUGAAAGACCUCAGCUGUCUGAUUUUAGGAAGUAUUUGACAAAAAACUGCUCAAGGUGAAGGACCUAAUCUGACCCUAGUUAAAACCAUGGAAGAAACACUCCUCUUGGUCCCUACACCAGUCUGCAUGAAGCCCUGAGCAUAGAACCAGAAUUGUGGUGUCAGUUUUGCAUAAACCUAAACUUGGUGGGUUUUUUACAUUAUUGCCCUAGCACACCUAUGAAAAAUGGUUUAACAAAUAUGACAUUCCACAACAAGCACAAAACAGACAGGUUUGGGAGUUAGAGUUGAAGUGUGAGCUCUAAAACUGAAGCCACUUUGUACUCUGUGGAGACAGAACAAUCCAUCACGUGUUUGUUUUGUUUUGUUUGGCUUUUUUUUGGGGGGGGAGAUAAUGUGAUAGGUUUUAGUUUUGAAGUCAGUGGUGAGGAUUCUGUUGACUAUACUGAAGUUAGGAUUAGGAUCAUGGAAAUAAAUGAAUUAUAUUUUAUGAUAAACUAUGUAGAUAGUCAAAGAUGCAAGAUUCACAGGCCCAUUUUGAUCAGCUCCUUUUCAAAGGUUCAGAGUCAUGGAUUGCAUCAAAUGGCCUGGAACACCUGGGCGUAACCUUGAGUUUAAAUCACAUCAAGAUGAUUUGAUUGUAAGUUCUUGAUUUAAGCUUGUUUCUUCACAUAACUUUCUGAGGUGUUUAACUGUGAUUUUUACAAGUUCAUGUGUUUUGUAGAAGAAUUGUGGGAGGGGAAAUGUGCAGUGUCCCCUGUGAUUCAGUAUCCAACACAGUGUAAGUAGCCUGAUGUUUUAAUCAACAGAUACGUGUCCUUGGCAAGGAAGUGAUUUUAGCACUUAGUGAAAUGCACUUGCUGAACUGUUGACAUUCAGUUCAUAGUCAAACUUUUAUUGGUGAAGAGAAACACACCCUUUUUAUUGAAGAUUUAGCUCAGUAAAAUAAAAUUUGGUGUCAGAAAUUUUUAUCUACCCUUACAUUCCCUGCAAGAAUGCUUGUUACAUGGAUAAGAUACAUGUAGAGCUUGACUUAGCCUUUUUCACACCGAAACCAGAUGUCUUCAGUAAUACUCAAC